rnacentral:rRNA from 1 species
CAGUAGCCGCGGUAAUCCGGAGGGUGCAAGCGUUAAUCGGAAUUACUGGGCGUAAAGCGCACGCAGGCGGUCUGUCAAGUCGGAUGUGAAAUCCCCGGGCUCAACCUGGGAACUGCAUUCGAAACUGGCAGGCUAGAGUCUUGUAGAGGGGGGUAGAAUUCCAGGUGUAGCGGUGAAAUGCGUAGAGAUCUGGAGGAAUACCGGUGGCGAAGGCGGCCCCCUGGACAAAGACUGACGCUCAGGUGCGAAAGCGUGGGGAGCAAACAGGAUUAGAUACCCGUGUAGUCCCUGUCUCUUAUAC